ensembl:lncRNA
CUGAGCUACCGAGCUGGAUAAAUAUUGAACACAACCUCUGGGAUCUUGUGAUCUGGCUUUCAAAGGCACAUAUACCGUAGACUCAGAGGACACGCCCUGGCCCCGGCUCCAGACCUGCAUUGUCCACAGACUCUGUGCCCAACCUUUUUUAUGCUGGUGUUUGAACUCCGUGACCUUGCACAUGCUAACUACAUGUCUCACCAGUGAACUGCACUCCAACCCUCUGUGCUUCACUUCCCCACCUGUCAAGCAGGUAACCUAACAGUGUUUACCAUGUAUUCUACCACAAGUAGAGCAUGAGAACACAGCCUUACUUUCCAGAAGAGCAGAAAGUCGAUACCCAUAUUUUAUGUUUCUCUGUAUGUUAAAGAUUUUCCUAAAGAUUUUCACAUACACACACUCGUUUUAUCUCCAUGCAGUUCUUAGGUG